AAGAGAAGAGCUUGUCAAGUUAGCUAAAGAUGACCUGCCUAAAACCAAUAUAAGGAAAGGAGUACACCAUUAAAGAUGACCUUUUUCCAUAAGAUAAAGGCAAGUCAUCCUUGGCUACCAAAUAAGCCUCUUCUCA
rfam:Nicotiana attenuata strain TT scaffold03202, whole genome shotgun sequence.